rnacentral:rRNA from 1 species
CUACGGGAGGCUGCAGUGAGGAAUAUUGCACAAUGGGGGGAACCCUGAUGCAGCAACGCCGCGUGGAGGAUGACGCAUUUCGGUGUGUAAACUCCUUUUAUAUGUCAAGAAAAUGACGGUAGCAUAUGAAUAAGCACCGGCUAACUCCGUGCCAGCAGCCGCGGUAAUACGGAGGGUGCAAGCGUUACUCGGAAUCACUGGGCGUAAAGGACGCGUAGGCGGGCUUGUAAGUCAGGUGUGAAAUCCUACAGCUUAACUGGAGAACUGCACUUGAAACUAGGAGCCUAGAGUAGGGGAGGGGCAGAUGGAAUUAGUGGUGUAGGGGUAAAAUCCGUAGAUAUCACUAGGAAUACCUAAAGCGAAGGCGAUCUGCUGGAACAUUACUGACGCUAAGGCGUGAAAGCGUGGGGAGCAAACAGGAUUAGAUACCCGCGUAGUC